AACGAACGCUGGCGGCAGGCUUAACACAUGCAAGUCGAACGCCCCGCAAGGGGAGUGGCAGACGGGUGAGUAACGCGUGGGAAUCUACCCAGAACUUCGGAACAAUUGAGGGAAACUUCAGCUAAUACCGGAUACGCCCUACGGGGGACAGAUUUAUCGGUUUUGGAUGAGCCCGCGUUGGAUUAGUUAGUUGGUGAGGUAAUGGCUCACCAAGGCGACGAUCCAUAGCUGGUCUGAGAGGAUGAGCAGCCACACUGGGACUGAGACACGGCCCAGACUCCUACGGGAGGCAGCAGUGGGGAAUAUUGGACAAUGGGCGAAAGCCUGAUCCAGCCAUGCCGCGUGAGUGAUGAAGGCCUUAGGGUUGUGAAGCUCUUUCAGUGGGGAAGAUAAUGACGGUACCCACAGAAGAAGCCCCGGCUAACUUCGUGCCAGCCGCCGCAGUAA
rnacentral:rRNA from 1 species